rnacentral:misc_RNA from 1 species
CAACGACUCAGAGAUUUCCCCUUCAAACGUCGGGUACUCUACCAUGUGGGUGGUAGACAGUCCUCUCGACAGCGAAACUUCGUAGCCAUGUAGGGGUUAUAUCGUUAGCGCAGAAACAGUCUUUUCUCCGUGGCAUCUGAAAGCGCAAUG